rnacentral:hammerhead_ribozyme from 1 species
GUCUAGCUGACGAGCUCUAAAUAGGAUGAAACGCGCGUGCUGGAU